CUUCUGCUCUCCCCGCACAGGAGGGCAGAGAGAGACCUCGGCGCCGUCUGCCCUGAUCGCGCCAUGGUCUCCGGCAUCGGGCUGCGGUGCCGGGCGGGUUGAGGGUCCCGCUCCGGCGC
rnacentral:ncRNA from 1 species